CUCUUCAACACAGUACAUUGGCGAUGAAAUAUACUCAUAAAGAUUUCACAUUAAACAAUUGACACAAAAGUUUACAUCAAAACACGUAUAACCCACACACCAUAUAUAAUUGAUGACAUGAAAACCGAGAAACAAGAAAGCCUCGUGAUGGUCACCUUCUGUUAUUACAGACCACGUGCUUCUCAUGUGUUCUUUCAAAAACUAGGUAACAAUUUAGCACUUUUUUCAAAUUGAUUCGUCCAACUAAAAUUUUAAUAUUAUUACACUUAUCUAUUUGGAAAGGUUGCAGAAUCCAAUUGCAUGAAAUUCAUCGUUCUUUUCAUGUUUUGCCACAACGUAUAUUCAUUGGCCACGUUUUCGGCAAAUGCAUAAAUGUGAUCGAAUACAGUCAUUUACAGUUCUUUCGAAAUUCAAAAAUACAGAAAUCGUGUUUCUCUUACCACGGCUUAUGGAUCUGUGACCACGCCAUGUCUGGCAUGCAACCAAGAAUUAUAAUAUGAAUACUGCCAACGAGCAUGCAUGGCAUGUAGACACCUUCAAUAACAUGCAACGAUAUGAAGAAACUUUUGUUGAUGUAGGGAUGCAACUAACUGAAAAAUAUAAGACGAAGGGGCUUCACUCGACUAAACGUGGAAAUUCUCCUUAUAUUUGACAUGAAGAUGAUAUGAACAAAAUGUUAUUAAACUAUUAUGUUAUUACGAACAGCAUAACGCGACAGAAAUCGUUCAUGCUUCAUUAUAAAUAAAAUGCUAUGUACCAAUAUUUUGAAAUGUUCAUUAUUUGAUCAACAAUCUUGCAUUUACAUCGUAUAUGGAAUUUUCGCUUGAACGGAGUACACAUUGCGUUGUUGGUCCACCGCAAAUGAAUGUAUCGUAUUUUAUUACAUCAUCUUAAUAUGAAUAUACAUUAUUACUUGUAUGUUGGAACAUAGCCUAUAGAAGGGAAGAUGGCUGUGAAACUCAUUAGAAUAACAAUAUAACUCAUGAUGUGGUUGGAAGGAUUGUGUAAAAUCCAAUCUAAGAAAGCUUUAUAGCAUUUUACACUUUCACGUAUGUCGAUGGACUUUCCGAUUAAUACACGGUUCACAUCAUUCCAUUACCUUCAGAAUGCAGAUUUCGCUAUCAAUUGAUUUCUCAUACGGUAUAGUGCAGGAUCAUUCUGUGGCCAGUAGAAUGAUCUACAUGCGUAUUUUCAUAUGUAAGUGUAUCUUUUUAAUUCAAUAUCUACUAUUUUGUUGAUGUAUAUAUAUAACUUACAUAUCCAAACUUAGACAACUUACAUGUCAAAAAUUAGACCUGUAUUAGAGCACGCAUCGCCUGUUUGGGCAAGAAUUCCAGAAUAUUUACAACAAGAAAUUGAACGUGUACAGACAAGGGAGCCUGAAAAUUCUUGACCUGGACCGAGACUGCCUGCCUUCUUUAAGAAGCAGGCGUAAAUUAGCAACCAUCCGAAAAAUCUGAAGGAUUCAAGCGGAACCAACCCCACCCUUGCUGUACCUGAACUGCCUGAUCCUAGAGAAUACCCGUAUGAACUUAGACAAAAUCAUCCUUACAUAGUUUUAUCUAGAACCGAGAAGCAUAAGCAUUGUAUAGCAUAACAUUAUAUAUCCAAAAAGGUAGCCAAAGGCCUGGGAAUCAGUGGCGUGCUGGCAGGGGGGGCCGGGGGGCCACGGCCCCCCCCCCAGCUGGCAAUUCUUGGGGGGCGCAAAAAUGAAAAUGGGGCGCCGAAUUUUGAAAGUGGGUGGGAAAAAACACAUUCUCGAAAAAAUAUGGUUACUUCCGCCAAGAAAAGACGUGUUUAUAGGCUACGGUAUAAAUCAGACUAAGCGCAUAGACGACAUAUAUUAAACUACAGACUAUUUUGCCUAACCGUAUUUGCUACCUCACAGCUCACACGAAAUCGUUCAUAUAAAAACAUGAUCAGUGAUCACAGGCAAUGUCUCAUUACCGGAAUAUUGGUCAGGUUUCGAUCGAAGCGAUCACGGGAAUUGUGCCCUUUUUUCUGGUAUUAUGCCCUUAUAAUAUGCCCUUUAUUAUGCUUCAC
rnacentral:lncRNA from 1 species